rnacentral:rRNA from 1 species
GUGGGGAAUUUUGGACAAUGGGGGCAACCCUGAUCCAGCCAUGCCGCGUGCGGGAAGAAGGCCUUCGGGUUGUAAACCGCUUUUGUCAGGGAAGAAAUCCGUUGGGUUAAUACCUUGGAGGGAUGACGGUACCUGAAGAAUAAGCACCGGCUAACUACGUGCCAGCAGCCGCGGUAAUACGUAGGGUGCGAGCGUUAAUCGGAAUUACUGGGCGUAAAGCGUGCGCAGGCGGUUUUGUAAGAUCGAUGUGAAAUCCCCGGGCUCAACCUGGGAACGGCGUUGGUGAGUGCAAGGCUGGAGGGCGGCAGAGGGGGAUGGAAUUCCGCGUGUAGCAGUGAAAUGCGUAGAUAUGCGGAGGAACACCGGUGGCGAAGGCAAUCCCCUGGGCCUGCACUGACGCUCAUGCACGAAAGCGUGGGGAGCAAACAGGAUUAGAAACCCGGGUAGUCC